CCUACGGGAGGCAGCAGUGGGGAAUAUUGCGCAAUGGGCGCAAGCCUGAUGCAGCCACGCCGCGUGAAGGAUGAAGGCCUUCGGGUUGUAAACCUCUUUCAGCAGGGAAGAACGGUGUAUAGUCUAUUCCUUUGUGCAUUGACGUUACCUGCAAAGGAAGCACCGGCUAACUCCGUGCAAGCAGCCGCGGUAAUACGGAGGGUGCAAGCGUUAAUCGGAAUUACUGGGCGUAAAGCGCUCGUUGGGGGUAUGUUAAGUCAAUGGUGAAAUCCCCGGGCUCAACGUGGGAACUGCAUUUGAUACUGGCAGACUUGAGUGUAGUAGAGGAUGGUGGAAUUCGAGGUGUAGCGGUGAAAUGCGUAGAUAUCUGGAGGAACAUCGGUGGCGAAGGCGGCUAACUGG
rnacentral:rRNA from 1 species